rnacentral:lncRNA from 1 species
CAUUACUGUGCGAUUUUACCACGAGUGAGCUGACAAAUUCAGCGUGUGUUGACUACUAACCUAAGUGAAAAUUUGAGGGCUUCAUGGGAAAAUCAGGGGGAUUCAGAAGUAAUUAAGCAUGAAUUAAACAUGAUGAGCUACAGGGCUAAUUCUAGGCCAUCGACAAUGCAUUAUGUAAAUCCAUUUUAGAAAUGUGACCAGUUCCUUUAGAACAUAUGUCCAAUGCCUAACAGAUGGUCUCCUAAGACCUCCAGCAUAUCUUUGGUGACUCAGGGCAGCCAAGGUAUGCUUGCUACUGUUGAAGGGCCAGUUACUGAGCCAAGAAGCAAGAAUGAGAUGGAAAAUCAACUGGAGCUUGUCAGAAUUCUACAUUUCCUUAGAGCCUGAGGAUAUGGCUUCUACAGCCAAUGCGAUCCAUAAAUGGAGGCUAUAGUACAUUUCAACUGAAGCUAACAAAGCAUAUAUUUCUUAAAAGUGGAGUGGAGGGCUCACGACUCAGGAAUCAGCCGCCACCACUUAAACCUGUCUUCAAAGGUGGAGAAUCUGACCUCAUCCACAGUCCAAGACCCAUCCAUCUUCCUGUAACAAGGAGCACAUCUGUCACCAGGCUUCUGGGUCACAUUUCCUGUCAACCAGGAAUCCCUCUAAGGAUGGAGGGAAAACUGGGAGCUUCCUUCUGCCCCCCCCGCCCCCCACUCGAAUCAUUUCCCCGUUUGAUCGUGUGGAGGGGCGGGGGAGAAACAGAAAAACAGGGAACAGGAAUUCGUUAUUCUUCGGUGGCAUUUCUAGCAAUGGGCUGA